AGAAAAAAAAACCCCACGUGACGGCUCGCGAUAAAGAGUCGGCUCGCGUCGUUCACGUCAAAGAGUCGGAUCUAAGAGCCAUUUCGUUCGCGAACGACCCAUCACUAGUGCGUGAGGAGGUGCGGCUCUCUCCGUGGAAUAUGAGACAGUCUCGGUGAACAGCAGCUGCUCGGCUGUUUCCGUGUUCGUUACUUUUUUCCUGAACUUUGUGUGAGUGGACCGUCUCCGUGUGAAGCUCCGUGUUCAGGUAGAAAGUGUGUGUGAGCUGAGCAGCAUGGAUCAGUGUGAGGACAGAGAGGAGGGAGCCCCUCCCUCUAAAAGCACUCUGUGUGGGGAACAUGAGAGCCAGACCAAAGCUCAGAGAGUCAGUGGGAGAACCUGUUGGCCUCAUGUCCCCCAGAGGUUUUCUGAAUCCAGCUGUGUGUCUCUGAGGAGUAAUCAAGUCC